UGGGAAUUUUGGACAAUGGGCGAAAGCCUGAUCCAGCAAUGCCGCGUGUGUGAAGAAGGCCUUCGGGUUGUAAAGCACUUUUGUCCGGAAAGAAAUCCUUGGCUCUAAUACAGUCGGGGGAUGACGGUACCGGAAGAAUAAGCACCGGCUAACUACGUGCCAGCAGCCGCGGUAAUACGUAGGGUGCAAGCGUUAAUCGGAAUUACUGGGCGUAAAGCGUGCGCAGGCGGUUUGCUAAGACCGAUGUGAAAUCCCCGGGCUCAACCUGGGAACUGCAUUGGUGACUGGCAGGCUAGAGUAUGGCAGAGGGGGGUAGAAUUCCACGUGUAGCAGUGAAAUGCGUAGAGAUGUGGAGGAAUACCGAUGGCGAAGGCAGCCCCCUGGGCCAAUACUGACGCUCAUGCACGAAAGCGUGGGGAGCAAAACAGGAUUAGAUACCCUGGUAGUCCACGCCCUAAACGAUGUCAACUAGUUGUUGGGGAUUCAUUUCCUUAGUAACGUAGCUAACGCGUGAAGUUGACCGCCUGGGGAGUACGGUCGCAAGAUUAAAACUCAAAGGAAUUGACGGGGUCAUAGCUG
rnacentral:rRNA from 1 species